CAGAAUGUAGCUUAAUAGAAAAGUAUCUCCCUUACACUGAGAUGAA
rnacentral:tRNA from 5 species